rnacentral:tRNA from 1 species
CCCUGGGUAGUGCAAAUGGUUAACGUGCUCAGCUGCUAACUGAAAGUCUGGUGUUCAAGUCCACCCAGGGG